AACGAACGCUGGCGGCAUGCCUAACACAUGCAAGUCGAACGAGACCUUAGGGUCUAGUGGCUCACGGGUGCGUAAAGCGUGGGAACCUGCCGUUAGAUUCGGAAUUACUCCCUGUCGUGGGUGAUAAUACCGGGUAACGUCCUCGGAUCAAAGAUUUAUCGCAUUUGGAUGGGCCCGCGUUGUAUUAGCUAGGUGCUAGCGUAAAAGCCUACCAAGGCGACGAUCCAUAGCUGGGCUGAGAGGAUGAUCGGCCACACUGGGACUGAGACACGGCCCAGACUCCUACAGGAGGCAGCAGUGGGUAAUACUGGACUAUCGGCGAAAGGCUGAUCCAGCAAUGCCGCGUGAGUGAUGAAGGCCUUAGGGUUGUAAAGCUCUUUUAUCCGCGACGAUAAUGACAGUACCGGGAGAAUAAGCUCCGGCUAACUCCGUG
rnacentral:rRNA from 1 species